AGAGUUUGAUCAUGGCUCAGAUUGAACGCUGGCGGCAUGCUUUACACAUGCAAGUCGAACGGCAGCACGGGUGCUUGCACCUGGUGGCGAGUGGCGAACGGGUGAGUAAUAUAUCGGAACAUGUCCGGAAGUGGGGGAUAGCUCGGCGAAAGCCGGAUUAAUACCGCAUAUGCCCUGAGGGGGAAAGGAGGGGAUCCGCAAGGACCUUUCGCUUUCGGAGUGGCCGAUAUCGGAUUAGCUAGUUGGUGGGGUAAAGGCUUACCAAGGCGACGAUCCGUAGCUGGUCUGAGAGGACGACCAGCCACACUGGAACUGAGACACGGUCCAGACUCCUACGGGAGGCAGCAGUGGGGAAUUUUGGACAAUGGGGGAAACCCUGAUCCAGCCAUGCCGCGUGAGUGAAGAAGGCCUUCGGGUUGUAAAGCUCUUUCAGACGGAAAGAAACGGUCACGGCCAAUACCCGUGACUAAUGACGGUACCGUCAGAAGAAGCACCGGCUAACUACGUGCCAGCAGCCGCGGUAAUACGUAGGGUGCGAGCGUUAAUCGGAAUUACUGGGCGUAAAGCGUGCGCAGGCGGUUUUGUAAGACAGAUGUGAAAUCCCCGGGCUUAACCUGGGAACUGCAUUUGUGACUGCAAGACUAGAGUACGGCAGAGGGGGGUAGAAUUCCACGUGUAGCAGUGAAAUGCGUAGAUAUGUGGAGGAAUACCGAUGGCGAAGGCAGCCCCCUGGGUCGAUACUGACGCUCAUGCACGAAAGCGUGGGGAGCAAACAGGAUUAGAUACCCUAGUAGUCC
rnacentral:rRNA from 1 species